rnacentral:rRNA from 1 species
GAACGCUGGCGGCGUGCUUAACACAUGCAAGUCGAACGGUGAAGCUCCAGCUUGCUGGAGUGGAUCAGUGGCGAACGGGUGAGUAACACGUGAGCAACCUGCCCCUGACUCUGGAAUAAGCGCUGGAAACGGCGUCUAAUACUGGAUACGAGAAGGGUCCGCAUGGGCACUUUCUGGAAAGUUUUUCGGUUGGGGAUGGGCUCGCGGCCUAUCAGCUUGUUGGUGAGGUAAUGGCUCACCAAGGCGACGACGGGUAGCCGGCCUGAGAGGGCGACCGGCCACACUGGGACUGAGACACGGCCCAGACUCCUACGGGAGGCAGCAGUGGGGAAUAUUGCACAAUGGGCGAAAGCCUGAUGUAGCGACGCCGCGUGAGGGAUGACGGCCUUCGGGUUGUAAACCUCUUUCAGCAGGGAAGAAGCGAAAGUGACGGUACCUGCAGAAGAAGCACCGGCUAACUACGUG